CGAGUCCGUUACCAUGACAACAUAAGUCAAUGUUUACUAGGUAGGUGUGUUUCUUUUUAAUCAAAUCGAACAACCAACAAUCGAAAGAUGGAAACUUCAACAGAUCAAUUAUUUUCGAGUGUCAUUAUCGGCAGUAGUACUGCAAGACAUAAAGCAAGGCUUGGUCAGUUCUCUGAAUAUCGAGAGGAAAGGUAUUAUGCCAACGUGUGGGUUCAAUUACUUCUUUACUUAAAUGUGCAUUUCUGUGGAGUUUGGCUAGCUUCCAGCAUUAUCACAUUGUAUUAUCAGUACUGGAACUUAUCAACUAUUCACCGUGUUUUAUCGGUAUUGUCUUUAAUCAUAGCUGCUCCAGUCGAAUGUCUACGGUUGUACUUA